AUGCUUUCGCCAUUGCGGAUCCCUUUGCCGGCACCGAGGUGCCAGAGAAGCCGCGGCCGCCGUCGGGACGCCGCUGCCGAGAUCCUCCAUCGCCGUCCCGGCCCCGGCCAUCCAGGUGCCGCCGACCCACGCACGCCGCCGCUCCACGCGCGUGGUCUGCCCCUCCACGCCUCCAUGCGCCGCUGCAGCCCACGCACGCCAUCUGCCCCUUUAAACCUCCACGUGCCGCCGAUGAGUUCGUCGUUGCCGACGGGGAGAGCGGGGGGAACAACCUCGGGGAGCGAGAGGCCGUCACCGGCCCCGGGAUUCGGCGCCGCGCGGCUGUCAUCGACGCAGUCCGGAGGUACCAAGUCUGCUACUCGUACCGACAUGUUGGUCGACGUAGGAAUGGUAGCUGGCUGUGAUAAUCUUGAGGUUCCACGACAUGUUGGAAUGGAAGUGCAUCCCCCGCGAAAGGCAAUUUGUUGUUGA
rnacentral:rRNA from 1 species